rnacentral:rRNA from 1 species
UUUUAUGGAGAGUUUGAUCCUGGCUCAGGAUGAACGCUGGCGGCGUGCCUAAUACAUGCAAGUCGAGCGAACGGACGAGAAGCUUGCUUCUCUGAUGUUAGCGGCGGACGGGUGAGUAACACGUGGAUAACCUACCUAUAAGACUGGGAUAACUUCGGGAAACCGGAGCUAAUACCGGAUAAUAUUUUGAACCGCAUGGUUCAAAAGUGAAAGACGGUCUUGCUGUCACUUAUAGAUGGAUCCGCGCUGCAUUAGCUAGUUGGUAAGGUAACGGCUUACCAAGGCAACGAUGCAUAGCCGACCUGAGAGGGUGAUCGGCCACACUGGAACUGAGACACGGUCCAGACUCCUACGGGAGGCAGCAGUAGGGAAUCUUCCGCAAUGGGCGAAAGCCUGACGGAGCAACGCCGCGUGAGUGAUGAAGGUCUUCGGA